AUGACACUUGGGUUCAAAACUUUAGCUACUCCCUUCCUAUUGAGGAGUAUGAGAUUCAGGAGAGAGUAUGAGAUUUCAGGGGAAAGACAGCCACAAAAAGAGGUCAGAGAAGAAUAUACAUGGUAUCGCUCCAGUUACUAUAGAUGUGUAAGAAAUUCAAGUUACAUAAACAACCACUCAUUAUGCUCCUGGAUCCUGAGGGUCUGGAAUGCGGACAGGUCACACUGGGGAAGGUUUGUUUAUGCUUCAUUCACUUUCAGCUUGAGGUGGCUUGAAGGUUGGGAUUGGCAUCCUCCGGAGGUUCUCUCCCAUGUCUGCAGUGAGGGUAGGGAGAUUUCAGCAGAUUGUCACCUUGAGGUCGAAUUUGUACAAAAGGGAUAUAACAUGUACAAGUAUCAUGGAUGCUACCGCUACACUGGAGUUCCUCAAAGACAAGACAAAACUGGAGGGAGAUUGUAUAGACCUAAAUUGCCUCCAAAGUGGGAUGUAUGAGAAGAGAGUAAUAUAGAGGCCUUUGCUGAUGACUUUUUUUUUUUUAACAGGACACAACUUAGGUGGAAAGAAAACCUCCCCUUUACUGAAUCCACAUAUGUUGAAAUGAAAGCCAACUCAACAGAAAAAUUGUUACAAUGCAUUAAAGAGAUUCUCCCUUAAUAUGUUUCUACAUUUUCAAAUACUAAUGGGGGAUAUUUGUGUACUGGUGGGUUUUUUUUUUUAAAGAUUUUACUUAUUUAUUCCUGAGAGACACAGGGAGAAGCAGAGACAUAGACCGAGGGAGAAGCAGGUUCCUCACAGGGAGCCCAAGGUGGGACUCGAUCCCCAGACUGGGAUCACGCUCUGAGCCAAAGGCAGAUGCUCAACCGCUGAGCCACCCAAGUGUCCCUUGUUUAUUGGUUUAAAUGAAGAUGAAGCAAUUGGCUUUAAAAGAGGAGUAAAUGAUCUUAACAAGUUAAUUCCAGAAAUAGAAAAAUUCAUUAGGGGGAUCCCUGGGUGGCGCAGUGGUUUAGCGCCUGCCUUUGGCCCAGGGCGCGAUCCUGGAGACCCGGGAUCGAAUCCCACGUCAGGCUCCCGGUGCAUGGAGCCUGCUUCUCCCUCUGCCUGUGUCUCUGCCUCUCUCUCUCUCUCUGUGACUAUCAUAAAUAAAUAAAAAUUAAAAAAAAAAAAAAAGAAAAAU
rnacentral:lncRNA from 12 species